UCCUGGCUCAGGAUGAACGCUGGCGGCGUGCCUAACACAUGCAAGUCGAACGGAGAACCCGCCCUCGGGCGGUUAUGAAGUGGCGAACGGGUGAGUAACACGUGACCAACCUGCCCCGCGCUCAGGGACAGCCUCGGGAAACCGGGAUUAAUACCUGAUGCGCCCCCGCCCCCGCAUGGGGGAGGGGGGAAAGCCGAAGCGGCGCGGGAUGGGGUCGCGGCCCAUCAGGUAGACGGCCGGGUAGAGGCCGGCCGUGCCGACGACGGGUAGCCGGGUUGAGAGACCGACCGGCCACAUUGGGACUGAGAUACGGCCCAGACUCCUACGGGAGGCAGCAGUGGGGAAUAUUGCGCAAUGGGGGCAACCCUGAACCGCAGCAACGCCGCGUGCGGGACGACGGCCCUCGGGUUGUAAACCGCUUUCAGCAGGGAAGACAUCGACGGUACCUGCAGAAGAAGCCCCGGCUAACUACGUGCCAGCCGCAGC
rnacentral:rRNA from 1 species